GUGUCAGCCGCCGCGGUAAUACGAAGGGACCUAGCGUAGUUCGGAAUUACUGGGCUUAAAGAGCUCGUAGGUGGUUAGAAAAGUUGGUGGUGAAAUCCCAAGGCUUAACCUUGGAACUGCCGCCAAAACNUUUUGACUAGAGUAUGAUAGAGGAAAGUGGAAUUUCUAGUGUAGAGGUGAAAUUCGUAGAUAUUAGAAAGAACACCGAUUGCGAAGGCAACUUUCUGGAUCAUUACUGACACUGAGGAGCGAAAGCAUGGGUAGCGAAGAGGAUUAGAUACCCUCGUAGUCCAUGCCGUAAACGAUGUGUGCUAGACGUUGGAAAUUUAGUUUUCAGUGUCGCAGCAAAAGCGUUAAGCACACCGCCUGGGGAGUACGACCGCAAGGUUAAAACUCAAAUGAAUUGACGGGGACCCGCACAAGUAGUGGAGCAUGUGGUUUAAUUCGAAGAUACGCGCAGAACCUUACCAACACUUGACAUGUUCGUCGCGACUCUAAGAGAUUAGAGUUUUCGGUUCGGCCGGACGAAACACAGGUGCUGCAUGGCUGUCGUCAGCUCGUGUCGUGAGAUGUUGGGUUAAGUCCCGCAACGAGCGCAACCCUUACUUUUAGUUGCUACCAUUUAGUUGGGCACUCUAAAAGAACUGCCGGUGAUAAGCUGGAGGAAGGUGGGGAUGACGUCAAGUCCUCAUGGCCCUUAUGUGUUGGGCUACACACGUGCUACAAUGGUACCCACAAUGAGAAGCAAAGAGGCAACUCUAAGCCAAUCUUUAAUAGGUACCUCAGUUCGGAUUGUACUCUGCAACUCGAGUACAUGAAGCUGGAAUUACUAGUAAUCGCGGAUCAGCGCGCCGCGGUGAAUACGUUCCCGGGUCUUGCACACACCGCCCGUC
rnacentral:rRNA from 1 species